GCCAGGCGCCGUGGCGCGCACCUGCAGUCCCAGCUACUCGGAAGGCUGAGACAGGCGCCUCGCUGGAGCCCAGGAGUCCACACUAAGUUUUGCAUCAAUGUGGCAACCUUCCUGCAGCAGGAGCCACCAGCUUGCCUAAGAGGGGUGAACCAGCCUGGAUCGGAGCCAGAGCAGGUCAAAACCCCCGCGCUGAUCGGUAUUGGGAUUGCACCUGUGAGUAGUCACUGUACUCUAGCCUGGGCAACAUAGCAAGACCCCAUCUCU
rnacentral:SRP_RNA from 1 species